ACUAAACACAGCAACAAUGAAAGCUGCACUGGGCUUGUUUAUAUCACUAACAUGUUUAUCAGGUGUCCAGUGUGAUGCCCGACUUGCCCAAUCAUCAGACCCAGUGCUGGUAAAGCCUGGAAACUCUCAUAAACUGUCCUGUGAAGGAUCUGGGUUCACUUUCAGCAGCUAUAGGAUGCACUGGGUUAGACAGUUUCCUGACAGAAGGUUACAAUGGGUGUCUGCUAUUAGAGGUUUGUAGAUAAAAGACCAAGAGAGGGAAACCCACUAAGAAGGAGAAGUGAGGACUUAUAUGGGACCUACUUCCUUCAGAUACAACAAGCUGUGAAUUAACAGAAUCAAACAGACCCUUUCAAAGGAAGCCAGCUACUAGAGUUUCAUGCAACUAUAGAGGCCACCCAGUCCUGAAUUUGGAUAAGUGAAGGCUUCUAAACUAAUAAGUGUCAGCCUCAAUAUGCCCAUUUUAUAUGUUUAUUCCAUAUUCUGAUCAUUUAU